GUGCUUGCUUUGGCAGCAUAUAUACUAAACUUGGAAAGAUACAGACAAGAUUAGCAUGGCCCCUGUGCAAGGAUGACGUACAAAUUCGUGAAGCGUUUCCAUAUUUU